GCUGUAGUUCAGGGGCAGAGCGUCUGCUUGGCAUGCAGAAGGUCUCAGGUUCAAUCCCCGGCAAGCC